GCGGGUAUGGCGGAAUGGUAGACGCGCCGGUCUUAGGAACCGGUGGGCAACCGUGCUGGUUCGAGUCCAGUUACCCGUACCA
rnacentral:tRNA from 1 species